CAAUUAUUAAGAUAAAUGUCUUUCAUCUAAGCUGUUCAGGUAAAGCCUCAGAUGGUGGAUGUGGGGACUCAAACCGAAAAGUUUGAGAAUCGCAGAUCAACUCCACUGACCAGUCCUGAACAAAGUGAUGAUGAAUGGUCAUUUUCUGAUAUCAUCAACCAUUCUGGUGAUAUGUCAUGGAGUCCAGGGGAAGAGAUGGCAAGCGAGUCCUCUAAGGAGGAACCAGAAGAGCUGGAAUCUCUCAGUGACCCAAAUGCUGUUGACAAGUUCAUCGUUCGUCCUUGUAUACAGUUUGCCCUGCAUGCUGUGGGGAAACCCAGGGACACAUAAUGCAUCCAGAAGGAACUUUCAUAAAAGUCAAGCAGGCCUGCGGAACUUGUGGUUAUGAGCGUUACUGGCAAAACCAAGAGAAGGUGCAUCGAAACAUGCCUGCCUGCAACCUUUUACUCAGUGGUGCCAUCCACUUCUCAGGUUGCAUGGCUACUCAGACUAUCAGGAUGCUGAAGCUGUUUGGACUGCAGUGCAUACAG